GUGCUCACUUCGGCAGCACAUGUACUAAAAAUGGCAACUAUACAGAGAAGGUUAGCAUGGCCUCUGUGCAAGGAUAACCUGCAAACUCGUGAAGCAUUCCAUAUUUUU
rnacentral:snRNA from 1 species